rnacentral:rRNA from 1 species
GUGCCAGCCGCCGCGGUAAUACCGGCAGCUCGAGUGAUGUCCAAUAUUAUUGGGCCUAAAGCGUCCGUAGCUGGCCGCGCAAGUCCGUCGGGAAAUCCACCUGCCCAACAGGUGGGCGUCCGGUAGAAACUGGCCGGCUUGGAACCGGAAGGCUCAGAGAGUACGUCCGGGGUAGGAGUGAAAUCCUGUAAUCCUGGACGGACCGCCGGUGGCGAAAGCGCCUCGGGAAGACGGAUCCGACAGUGAGGGACGAAAGCCAGGGUCUCCAACCGGAUUAGAUACCCUUGUAGUCC